GGCUGUGGCUGGAGAGCAGGGGCUGAGCUGGGCAUGGGCAGGGCGGUGCUUCUGCCCUCCUUCACGGGCUCUGUGGUUCCUCCUGAGCAUGCCCUGAAGGGGCAAAGAUAUUUUUCUCUGCUUUUUACUGCUGAAACCUGACCCUGUCAGACACUGAAUGCAGGCGAGAGUCUCCAGGGUCUUAUUUCAACCCUCCCUCUCCACCCUCAGCACCUCCACUAUCUGAUGCCACUCAAAUGUUCCCAGGCUCCAGGAAUCCUGUGCCUCCCUCAGCCCCAUCUCUGAUCCCACCGUGCUGCCUCUCCCGACCUCCCUGCCCUGCUCUCAUCCCGACCUGCCAAGGGGGAGUGCAAAGCGUGCAGAGAACAGAGGUGUGCCAGGCACGCUGCACAGGGAUGAGUGAAUGAGCUCACCCUCUCCUGCCUGAUGCCCAGCCUGUGGCACCUCUUGCCAGGCCAGAGACCCUCAUAUUCCCACUGGAAUACAGGGCAGAGCCAACAGGAUGAGCCUCAUGUGCCUCAGCCACUGCCCAGGCCUGUCAUGGGGUGAGCAGGCACACAGAGGUGUAAACCUCAGGUGUCCCUGAGGAAUGGAGAGAACCUCAUUAUCUGGCAAACUGAGGAUUUGGAUGUGCAGGGGAUGUCAAGGAGGAUUUUGAAUGUGGAGCCCCAUCAACAGAGAGCUGCCCAUCCAUCCGCCAGAUCCUUCCAGCUCCCACUGCCCCUCCAAAGGCAGCAGCAACAAAUCAGUCCGAGCCAAUGGAAAGGAAAGAAGAGGAGAAAGCUCUGGAGGGGUUAACGUGCUCUUGAGCAUGGUUCAGUGAAAUUGUCAAAAAAUCCCUUCUGACAAAUUGCCUGAGAAGAGAGAGAAAAAUAUAAAGAGCCGAGUGCAUGGUAAUGAUUUCUGAAAAGUUCCCCAGCACCAAAAUGGCAAAAUACCAUUAGCAAAGCAAA